GGAGAGUUGGCCGAGUGGCAAGGCAACGGCUUGCUGAGCCGUGGUCGGGUGCAAGCCCGCGCGCGUUCGAUCCGCGCACUCUCCGC
rnacentral:tRNA from 1 species